rnacentral:misc_RNA from 1 species
UUUCCGUAGGUGAACCUGCGGAAGGAUCAUUCUAAUAACAUUAACGAAAAACCUAUGCGUAUGGUUCUGUGCUACUGAGACGGGAUCGUUUGUGCUGAUUUGAUUUUGAUUGGGUAGUCUUUCUUUUCAUUAGCUUUAGCAGUGUUCUCAUACUCCAUUCAACCUAAUCAUUAAACUUUGUUUUAACCUUUUCAUACUCUUGGCUAAUAACCUUGAGAUGAGAUAAAUACGAAACAUAAGAAGAACUCUUAGCAACGGAAAUCUUGGCUCUCGCACCGC